rnacentral:rRNA from 1 species
UACGUAGGGGUCGAGCGUUGUCCGGAGUUACUGGGCGUAAAGAGCGCGCAGGCGGCUGGUCAAGUCCGAUGUGAAAGCUCCCGGCUUAACUGGGAAAUUGCAUCGGAAACUGAUCGGCUUGAAGGUGGGAGAGGGUAGUGGAAUUCCCGGUGUAGUGGUGAAAUGCGUAGAUAUCGGGAGGAACACCAGUGGCGAAGGCGACUACCUGGCCCACUCUUGACGCUGAGGCGCGAAAGCUAGGGGAGCGAACGGG